UGGGGAAUUUUCCGCAAUGGGCGAAAGCCUGACGGAGCAAUACCGCGUGAGGGAGGAAGGCUCUUGGGUUGUAAACCUCUUUUGCUUGGGAAGAACAAUGACGGUACCAAGGGAAUAAGCAUCGGCUAACUCCGUGCCAGCAGCCGCGGUAAUACGGAGGAUGCAAGCGUUAUCCGGAAUUAUUGGGCGUAAAGCGUCCGCAGGUGGCACUUCAAGUCUGCUGUCAAAGACUGGAGCUUAACUCCGGAAAGGCAGUGGAAACUGGAGAGCUAGAGUAUGGUAGGGGUAGAGGGAAUUCCCAGUGUAGCGGUGAAAUGCGUAGAGAUUGGGAAGAACAUCGGUGGCGAAAGCGCUCUACUGGGCCAUAACUGACACUCAGGGACGAAAGCUAAGGUAGCGAAUGGGAUUAGAUACCCCCGUAGUCC
rnacentral:rRNA from 1 species